rnacentral:rRNA from 1 species
AUGGGCGACGCCGCCAACGCCUCCCGUCGGCGUCGGCUGGCCUCAAUUCUCCUUUCCCGGAAACCGCGCCUCACCGACAGCAGGAACGAGACCACGGCCACAGCCGAAUCCAAGGAUGGCUUCACCAUGGCGGUCUCCUUCUGGAUGGCCGACCCACCACAAUUGUCCAUCUUCUCCAUCCACUGCUGCAGACCCCCUCAUUUUCAAGACGGGCCGUACUGCAAUUUCAAAGAUUUGCCACACGUGGUCGGCGUCGGCGCGGCGGGCCGUUUCGUUCUCAUCCGCGCCGUCUUCGACCGCCGCGCCACAUCCGAAUAUUUCCUUUACAAGGCCGGUGAGUCACCAUUGCUCGACCCGAUUCUUCCUCCCUACGAUUAUCGUGAUGGCGACCGCGAUGAUCUGCGGGGGGUCAGGGAGUUCGGCGUCCUGCAGCUCGGCAGCCAGUAUCUCGUGGCCGCUCUCUGCCUCGACCCGUUGUCGGAUGACUAUUACCUUCGGAUCUACUCGUCCGAGAGAAAAUCAUGGAGCACCAGGACCCUGCCCAAUCCAUGUCCUGGGGUCGACAGGAUUAUGCCCGACAAGGUGAUCACUCUUGGAGAAGAAGGCCUACUAGGGUGGGUUGAUUUGUCACAGGGCCUGCUGAUGUGCGACCUGCGUCAAGAUCAGGUGCGUCUCACUUUCAUCCCGCUGCCGGAGCUGUUGCCUGGGAACAGAUACAAACUAAAAGGUCCCGUUCCCCCUCCCACCGCAGAGAGAAGCAAAAAACUAGAGGGCGAAUCUCACCCAAAUCUCUGGUGGUUUCGGGAUCUCUCAUGGGUUGAUGGCGUGCUCAAGUUUAUUGAGAUGGAGAAUCUUGUUCCUGAAAGCCGGAGCGACAAGGGUGAUGUUAUCUACGAUUCAGACUUGAUCAUGUCGCUCGAGCGCAAAGCCGUGGAUUGGCAUUGCAAGCAGCCGUCCUUUGGGGGUGCCUGGAGGGCUGUCACAUGGACUCGGACAGUUUCGUCCAACUGUUGGCGCCAGACAUGCGCUGUCAAUGUCGCUGACAUCUUGGUUGUUGACGGAUCAGCGCAUUCAUCUUUGUUGCCCGGGCUAAAGGGAGAAAAGUUGACAUUCAUGGACCUCUACUCAGCUUUCCCCAUCCUGAGCCCGGAUGGUGACGAUAUUCUUUAUCUCAAAUCUAUGGUGGAACCCAGUAACAAGGAUGGAUGUGUGGCCGCUGUUGACUUACGAAACAAGGCUGUGAAAGCAGUUGGCAAGUAUUAUCUUCCGGAUGAUUUUUAUUACCACUUUCGCUAUGACCCUGAACAUCCUUUCCGUGUCUGUGCAUUGUCCCGCCAUCUGGAUAUGACUCCAGGCAUUGAAGUCACAGCGUGUCGCAAGAUCACAGGGGAUGCUAGCAGCUCUUCAAAUUUUCCAAGAAACACCUCACUCAAUUCCUGCGAACCAAGGAGCAAAAUCCAAAGGCCAUUGGAAUUGGCUCAGAAAAACAAGCGUGCACGAAAUGCUGCUGGGAUUAUUAUGCAGAAUGAUCAUAUUUCCAAGCUUGACGAUAAGGUGCUGGAGCUAGAGCGGGAGCUAGAGCAGAAGAAAGAGCAGAAGCCACAACAGCAGUGCUUCAAAAAGUGGGAUGCGGCAAGCUAUCCCCCUGGGCAUUCAUUGUGGCCCCAAAACAAUCUGCCAGUGCGGCAAUACUUCAGCAAGCCACCACCAUCGUUCGCCCCUCUACAUGGUCGUCACAACUACCAGGCACUGUGGCAGCAGCCACCACCAUCAAAACAGCAGUUCACUUAUAACAGUGAGUUUGAACCUCAUGAGGCACCCCUGCCAUCCUUCAACAAUUGCAGUGGAGCCGGCUACCAUUGGUAUUCACAGCAAUUUUCUGCCCCUAACUCAUUUGACUAUGGCGCACACACAGGCUAUGGCAACUACCAACACCAGUGGGAGCAGCUUCCCAGUACUCUGGAGCUGCCUAUUGCAUCUUGGCAGCAUCCACCUCCUCCGUUGCAUUGUGAUCCAACACCUAGUGAGGGGACAUCUUCCUUACUACCGUUGGGAGAUGCAUGA